CCACACACCCAGCCCGCCCCCAUGCUCAUCGAGGGUUCCGCGCCGGGAUGCCUCAUCG
rnacentral:misc_RNA from 1 species